AAUAAGUCUUCGGGGAGCCGAGCAAAACCGGCUGAGAGUGGGCGUGUGCGCCCUGACCCGUGAACCUGAUACGGCUAAUACCGUCGGAGGGAAAGAUGCAUAUAUGGGA
rnacentral:ncRNA from 2 species